GUAGAAAAUUUGAUAGUAAAAGUGAAGUUCGGAAAGAUAGAUCAGUUGGAAGUGAAAGAUAGUGUUGCAUCGUUGGUAAUAAUUCAGGCAGUUUAAGGUUGGGGAAAUCGCAUGCAAGGAAAAACUAGAUUUGUAAGCUAAAUUUAUUUGUUACAAUUCACCGAUUAAAUAAAACUAAUUCUAGUUGAAGCUGUUUAAAGUGAAACUGCUGUUCGAAA